GGGUAAGUGGGAAGAUGGUGGACUGCAGAACAUGUGUGAUUCUCAUAUCAUAUGUCUGCUGACCAUCACCUUUAAGGGUCU
rfam:Neotoma lepida isolate 417 scaffold_3, whole genome shotgun sequence.